rnacentral:rRNA from 1 species
AAAUGAAUUGACGGGGGCCCGCACAAGCGGUGGAGCAUGUGGUUUAAUUCGACGCAACGCGCAGAACCUUACCCGGGCUAGAAAAGCAGGGAAUCCCCUAGAAAUAGGGGAGUGCCCUUCGGGGAACCCUGAUCCAGGUGCUGCAUGGCUGUCGUCAGCUCGUGUCGUGAGAUGUUGGGUUAAGUCCCGCAACGAGCGCAACCCUUGUCCUUCGUUGCCAUCAUUAAGUUGGGCACUCAAAGGAGACUGCCGACGUCAAGUCGGAGGAAGGUGGGGACGACGUCAAGUCCUCAUGGCCCUUAUGUCCGGGGCUACACACGUGCUACAAUGGACGGUACAAAGCGCUGCGAAGCCGCAAGGCGAAGCCAAUCGCAAAAAGCCGUCCUCAGUACAGAUUGCAGGCUGCAACUCGCCUGCAUGAAGUCGGAAUCGCUAGUAACCGCUGAUCAGCAGGCAGCGGUGAAUACGUUCCCGGGCCUUGUACACACCGCCCGU